rnacentral:rRNA from 1 species
CUGGAACACAGGUGCUGCAUGGCUGUCGUCAGCUCGUGUCGUGAGAUGUUGGGUUAAGUCCCGCAACGAGCGCAACCCUUGUCGUUAAUUGCCAUCAUUUAGUUGGGCACUUUAACGAGACUGCCGGUGAACCAAACCGGGAAGGAAGGGUGGGGAUGACGUCAAGUCCUCAUCGGCCCUUAUGGGUGGGGCUACACACGUCAUACAAUGGAUGGUAACAAAGGGUCGCCAACCCGCGAGGGGGAGCCAAUCCCAUAAAGCCAUUCGUAGUCCGGAUCGCAGUCUGCAACUCGACUGCGUGAAGUCGGAAUCGCUAGUAAUCGUGGAUCAGAAUGUCACGGUGAAUACGUUCCCGGGUCUU